rnacentral:lncRNA from 1 species
UUUUGCAGUAUAGCUACCAAGACCCACUCUAGAUGACAUGGCGAGUUGGAGAUGGCCAUAAGAUGGGUGUUAGAUCAGAUGACCCGGAAGUACCCAAAUCGUUCCCAACCUUCCAGCCCCUCACAGAAAAAGAGUGGGGAGAAGCACAGCAUCCCUCUCGGAGAGGUCAGGCCUGUUACGAGAGAACUGGCACGUGGAGAGCAUUCAGAUCAAGCACAUGGUUGACAGGACAGUCCUGCGAGCUUGCCCCACGUGACUCCUUCCCGCUGUCACCGAGAUACGGGUGAAAGAUCAUCAGGAGAGCCCCUGAAGGUGGGGAAGUCAUCGGUCCUGCCUCAGGCACCUCCAAAAUGAAAAUAAAGGGACAAAGACAAUAGAAGAACA